GUCUAUAGCCAUACUACCCUGGAUGUGCCCAAUCUUGUCUGAUAUCUAAAACCAAGCAGGGUCACGUCUGUUUAGUACUUGAAUGGGAGACCUCCUGGAAAUAUUGGGUGCUGUAGGCU
rnacentral:rRNA from 1 species